AGGAGUAUGACAACAAUCCUCCUUGAGCAGCGGCGAGUCGACAAGACUCGAUUAACAGAUGACAGACUCAUUCCAGCUGCAGCAAGACAAACUCAAUCAAUUACAGAUGAACAAAUAAACUAGAGCUGGUCUUCAAGACUAAUACAUAAAGGUGCUAAAUUAACUGAAGUAAUGCUGUGACUACUGUUCUCUGUACUGAGCAAUGCAGCUAACUGGAUAGUUUCCUGCUGUGGCUGCUCAGACAAGAGCCAGACAGCAACAGGAUGACAAUACCUGUAUAAAGAUGAGAAAGUGUGGACAGUCUCUAGUGAUGGAACAUCACCCAGUCCCAGUCCUCUUAACUUCACUGACUAGAAUGGACACAAGAUUCCCACACGGGUCCACCUGCUCACUUUAUCUAUACAUCUAGUUGAUGUCUCAGCUCUGCAGUUGUUACAAUGAUGACUUAUCUGAAAACUCCUUAAUAGAAGCUAGAUAAAGUCUGAAAACUGACAAGUGCAGCAAUGGCACCCCUUACACGUUAAUUGUGAAUCCAGUUAUUUAAAUAAAUAAAAUGUUUGGGAUUGUUUGAUGUAAA